AGUGAACGCUGGCGGUAGGCCUAACACAUGCAAGUCGAACGGCAGCACAGUAAGAGCUUGCUCUUACGGGUGGCGAGUGGCGGACGGGUGAGGAAUACAUCGGAAUCUACUUUUUCGUGGGGGAUAACGUAGGGAAACUUACGCUAAUACCGCAUACGACCUACGGGUGAAAGCAGGGGAUCUUCGGACCUUGCGCGUUUGAAUGAGCCGAUGUCGGAUUAGCUAGUUGGCGGGGUAAAGGCCCACCAAGGCGACGAUCCGUAGCUGGUCUGAGAGGAUGAUCAGCCACACUGGAACUGAGACACGGUCCAGACUCCUACGGGAGGCAGCAGUGGGGAAUAUUGGACAAUGGGCGCAAGCCUGAUCCAGCCAUACCGCGUGGGUGAAGAAGGCCUUCGAGUUGUAAAGCCCUUUUGUUGGGAAAGAAAAGCAGCAGGUUAAUACCCCGCUGUUCUGACGGUACCCAAAGAAUAAGCACCGGCUAACUUCGUG
rnacentral:rRNA from 1 species